rnacentral:rRNA from 1 species
AGGGAAUAUUGGUCAAUGGAUGCAAGUCUGAACCAGCCAUGCCGCGUGCAGGAUGAAGGCCUUCUGGGUUGUAAACUGCUUUUAUCUGGGGAUAAAAAGGGGGUGCGCCCCCAACUGAAGGUACCAGAUGAAUAAGCCGCGGCGAACUACGUGCCAGCAGCCGCGGUAAUACGUAGGUGGCAAGCGUUAUCCGGAAUUACUGGGCGUAAAGCGCACGCAGGCGGUCUUUUAAGUUUGACGUGAAAGCUCCCGGCUUAACUGGGAGAGGUCGUUGAAUACUGGGAGACUUGAGUUUAGGAGAGGGGUGUAGAAUUCCCGGUGUAGUGGUGGAAUGCGUAGAUAUCGGGGGGAAUACCAGUGGCGAAAGCGGCACCCUAGCCUUUGACUGACGCUCAUGUGCGAAAGCGUGGGGAGCGAA